rnacentral:rRNA from 1 species
GAGGGUGAUCGGCCACACUGGGACUGAGACACGGCCCAGACUCCUACGGGAGGCAGCAGUAGGGAAUCUUCGGCAAUGGACGAAAGUCUGACCGAGCAACGCCGCGUGAGUGAAGAAGGUUUUCGGAUCGUAAAACUCUGUUGUUAGAGAGGAACAAGGACGUUAGUAACUGAACGUCCCCUGACGGUGUCUAACCAGAAAGCCACGGCUAACUACGUGCCAGCAGCCGCGGUAAUACGUAGGUGGCAAGCGUUGUCCGGAUUUAUUGGGCGUAAAGCGAGCGCAGGCGGUUUCUUAAGUCUGAUGUGAAAGCCCCCGGCUCAACCGGGGAGGGUCAUUGGAAACUGGGAGACUUGAGUGCAGAAGAGGAGAGUGGAAUUCCAUGUGUAGCGGUGAAAUGCGUAGAUAUAUGGAGGAACACCAGUGGCGAAGGCGGCUCUCUGGUCUGUAAC